UACAGAGGUCUCAAGCGUUGUUCGGAUUCAUUGGGCGUAAAGGGUGUGUAGGUGGCGCGCUAAGUCGGGUGUGAAAUUUCGGAGCUUAACUCUGAAACUGCAUUCGAUACUGGCGUGCUUGAGGACUGGAGAGGAGACUGGAAUUCAUGGUGUAGCAGUGAAAUGCGUAGAGAUCAUGAGGAAGACCAGUGGCGAAGGCGGGUCUCUGGACAGUUCCUGACACUGAGACACGAAGGCCAGGGGAGCAAACGGG
rnacentral:rRNA from 1 species